rnacentral:antisense_RNA from 1 species
CAAGUGUGCCCCUUCCUUCUUGACUUUUUAGCAGUUCUGGGUAAAUAUUGAUUUGCCCCCAGUUUACCUUCUCCCUGACUGGCCAUUUGCAGACUCAGGAACUAGCCUCUGUAGGGACUUGAUUUUUCUGUUACUUUCUGGCCGUUUCACCACCCCCCUUCCUCCCUCCAAGUGGCAUUGUAAAACUCACAGUGACAAAGAGACAGAGUAGGGUUCGAGGCCCCUGUUCCUGAGGACUUGAAGGCGGUUUUACAUACUGGUCAGACACGGCUGGAGGCCAAGGUCAAGUUGAAAGUUGCAGUCCAGCCAGCAUGAGAACUGCCAUGCGAGCGUAGAGACACAGGCAGCAGCAAAAGGCCCAUUGCCCACAUCCCCUCACUCUUUAUUUUCUCUCUCUUUUUAAAAUUCUCGGCUCUGACUCUGUUCGGCUGCCCAGAAUUUUUUGGUGCCUUCGUGGGGUUUUUGGGGCGGUGUUUACCGACUCUUCUCUGCCUCCGCCCUGCUCAGCCAGGGCUUUGAGCCUCUUCGGUUUUCCGGCCAGACCCGGAAAAACGAAAACACAGCUUGGGGAGCCCCCACUAGCCGGCGCCUGUGCCAGCUCACCUCUGGCCAUGGCGCAGCUGCCGGUGCACACGGCGGCCAAGGCCAGCUCCACAUUCUUCCCUCCCCCUCCCACUUCACCGGAGCCCCGAACCCUGCGCGCAGAGAAAGGGUCUCAGCUCCACAGACGACUGGGUCCCUCCUCACCAAAAAUGGUGAGACAAGAUUUCAUCUGUCGGCCGAGGAGCCACAAGCAGGUACCACAAAGCCACUAGUGCACAGGGACUCAGAAAGACGGCAGAAGCCCAAGGAAAACUCCAAUUUGAGUACAGCCCUGCCUUGUUUCCCCCAGAGAGUCCCUGAGCAAGGAGAUCUCCACCCCACACACACCAUUUCAGAACAACCAGGUUCCAGACUCCCAUGAGGAGCAUCUCCCACUGCACAGCCUUGGCCAGCCGCGCCCGGACUCCUCAGAGCUGGCGCAAACUCCGGCCUCCAAAACUCGGCUCUGGGAGGCCUAAGUGACUCCGAAGCCGGCGGCAGCCGCGGCAGCGGCCGUGGUGGUGGAAGAGCUCUUUUCCCCGACAGUGCCACUGAUCGCUCUUCACUGGAGCUGGAAACAGCCUUCGCGGAAAGGACCGGAGCACGCGUUAGAAGCAGGGGGAGCUUGGUGAAGGGCUCGGCUGGAGGGAGGAAACGCCUUCUCGCAGUGCGCGGCCAGCCCGCGGGGGACACCGGCUUGCUGGACUGCAGGGGCCUGUGCCACCCAGGGAGUGACCUGCGGGUCACUCAGCCGGGGCGCUGGGCGAGCGCGGGACGGCCCGGAGAAUUCCGUGCGGCUGCGACGGGAAAAGGACGAGGGGUCUCUGUACCCGACGCUGCCACUGGCCCAAAGGAAUUUUACCCGCGAGCGCCCACCCCACCCUAGCUUGAUGCUUACGCCCGCAACAAAACAGGAAACCAGGACUGGGCAGUGCAUUCUUUAAGUCAACAAAUACACUGAAGACUUCGAGCGUUUGAAGGAAGUAGGGGGUUUGCACGUAAGCCUGGCCCCGCCGGGCUCGGCUUUCUCGCUGAGAAAGCGGCGCAGGCAGCCAGGCGGCCUGGGCCCGCGGGGGUCCAUCUCGCCCUAGACUCCUAAGAACUCCCACGGCCCUGUUCCCAGCUGCGAAUUCUUAAUGCACAACGCGACGGAGGGAAGGAAAUUCACCAGCGCAGCGACGAGGAAGGGGAACUCAGGACCCCUUCAAGUACACACUGAGGUGUGAUCAGAGUUUUAUGGGCACUUUAUAUGCUGUAAUCAUAACGAUGUGUGUGCCUUGAUAUGCAAGCAUAUUCACGCAUCAAACGUGCAUACACACACAGAGUGAAUGUGCGCAUCCAAUGUCAUGUGGGUGAAAUACAGGCAUCAUACCCAGCCCUACGAAAAAAAAAUUCACCCUGUCGGACCAGGCUGGUGACAUACUUCGCUGGCGCAUCUCCUUACUCACUCUUACUUUUCCGACCCCUCACCAUUCCCUCUCCUGUGGCUUGGUAAAUACACCUGUCCCCCGUGGAAGGUGAGUCCUGGACUGGCGUUGCCAGGUUCGCAUGUCCUCCCCAGAACCUCCGUCUGGCUCCAGGGACUCUCACUGAGCGGGUCUAGAGCACCCAGCACUUUUCAAGGAACAGCCGCGGUUCCUUUGUCCCGCGGCUCCAGCCCCGUUCGGCCCAGCUCUCAGGGAAACGAAGCGCUCAGUAAGAACUUUUGAUAUUAGUUUGUAUGGGUAUUUACACUCUGGUGAGGGGAGCUGAGUACGGAAGCUCCAUUAAUCAUACCCCAACCUUGGGUUUAGAUAUUCAGUUUAUGGGUUGGGAGAGGGAGUUUGCCGGAAAGAAAGCAUCAAGGUUGGCCGCUGACUCCAGAGAAAUGAAAAGGGAGCAAGGUCGUUUUCUGUUUCUGGAAAUCAAGAAUUAGGAAUGGGCAACUACAGGUGCUAACCAACAGACCACUUUUUUGUUUUUUGGUAGCCCUUUGGCAAGGAUAGUUUUUCCACCUUUGCCCGAUACAAUUAAAAAAAAAUCCUUUUAUUAUGGAAUUUGUCAAACACACACACAAGCAUAACAAACCCCUAGGUACCCAUUUCCAAGUUUUGACCCCUAUUAUAAUUUCAUCUUCAAUGUUUUAUUAUCCACUUCCUCUCUCUCUAUCUUUAGUAUUUUAAAGUAAAUCCCAGAUAGCAUCACAUCAUUUCACCCCCACCAUAGGAUUUCAAAGAUCUGUUAUAUUUCAAGAUUGAGUAAAAGGGCUUGAAAUUGGGUUAUUGCAAUGAAACUCUAGAAAAAACUUGAGGGUUCACCCAGGAGUAAGCUGGACAAAAAGGGGGUUUGAGGGGUGGACCCAUCUUGCCUAAAAAUCUUGUCUCAUCUUUCUAAAAAUUACAUAUGAAAGAGGAAGAUUUAUGUUACUUUUUUAUAUGAGAGAAUCGUCCUUUAAUAGAAAAUUUCUAUUGCUGCAUCAGAAUUAUGGAGGAACACAAAAAACAUACCUCAGUCCUUAGUGUGUCCUAAAUUAACACAUAUUCACUUAUUAGUGGGUAAAUGACUAUAUUUCAUUUCAGCACAACUUCUCCCCUGGUAGAAACUCAAAAGAAAUUUCUAAUGAUUAAACUAGGAAAGUUUGCACUGAAUUGAUGGCUUAUCAGAGCAACUGCAGUUUUCAGGAAGAAAUUCAAUGCCAUGCAUUGAAAAUAUUCCCCUAGCAAUAAGGGAUUAUUUUUUAAAAAGAAUGAAUAAAGAUGUUCUGGUUUCUUUUGUUUUAA